rnacentral:rRNA from 1 species
AGUGAACGCUGGCGGUAGGCCUAACACAUGCAAGUCGAACGGCAGCACAGCAAGAGCUUGCUCUUACGGGUGGCGAGUGGCGGACGGGUGAGGAAUACAUCGGAAUCUACUUUUUCGUGGGGGAUAACGUAGGGAAACUUACGCUAAUACCGCGUACGACCUACGGGUGAAAGCAGGGGAUCUUCGGACCUUGCGCGAUUGAAUGAGCCGAUGUCGGAUUAGCUAGUUGGCGGGGUAAAGGCCCACCAAGGCGACGAUCCGUAGCUGGUCUGAGAGGAUGAUCAGCCACACUGGAACUGAGACACGGUCCAGACUCCUACGGGAGGCAGCAGUGGGGAAUAUUGGACAAUGGGCGCAAGCCUGAUCCAGCCAUACCGCGUGGGUGAAGAAGGCCUUCGGGUUGUAAAGCCCUUUUGUUGGGAAAGAAAAGCAGCAGGUUAAUACCCCGCUGUUCUGACGGUACCCAAAGAAUAAGCACCGGCUAACUUCGUG